rnacentral:rRNA from 1 species
UACGAAGGGUGCAAGCGUUAAUCGGAAUUACUGGGCGUAAAGGGUGCGUAGGCGGUUCGUUAAGUCUGUUGUGAAAUCCCCGAGCUCAACUUGGGAAUUGCAAUGGAUACUGGCAGGCUGGAGUACGGUAGAGGAAGGUGGAAUUCCCGGUGUAGCAGUGAAAUGCGUAGAGAUCGGGAGGAACACCAGUGGCGAAGGCGGCCUUCUGGACCAAUACUGACGCUCAUGCACGAAAGCGUGGGGAGCAAACAGG